AGUGAACGCUGGCGGUAGGCCUAACACAUGCAAGUCGAACGGCAGCACAGUAAGAGCUUGCUCUUACGGGUGGCGAGUGGCGGACGGGUGAGGAAUACAUCGGAAUCUACUUUUUCGUGGGGGAUAACGUAGGGAAACUUUCGCUAAUACCGCAUACGACCUACGGGUGAAAGCAGGGGAUCUUCGGACCUUGCGCGAUUGAUUGAGCCGAUGUCGGAUUAGCUAGUUGGCGGGGUAAAGGCCCACCAAGGCGACGAUCCGUAGCUGGUCUGAGAGGAUGAUCAGCCACACUGGAACUGAGACACGGUCCAGACUCCUACGGGAGGCAGCAGUGGGGAAUAUUGGACAAUGGGCGCAAGCCUGAUCCAGCCAUACCGCGUGGGUGAAGAAGGCCUUCGGGUUGUAAAGCCCUUUUGUUGGGAAAGAAAAGCAGCAGGUUAAUACCCCGCUGUUCUGACGGUACCCAAAGAAUAAGCACCGGCUAACUUCGUG
rnacentral:rRNA from 1 species